UACGGAGGAUGCAAGCGUUAUCCGGAAUGAUUGGGCGUAAAGCGUCCGCAGGUGGCUAUGUAAGUCUGCUGUUAAAGAGUCUAGCUCAACUAGAUAAGAGCAGUGGAAACUACAAGGCUAGAGUACGUUCGGGGCAGAGGGAAUUCCUGGUGUAGCGGUGAAAUGCGUAGAGAUCAGGAAGAACACCGGUGGCGAAAGCGCUCUGCUAGGCCGCAACUGACACUCAUGGACGAAAGCUAGGGGAGCGAAUGGG
rnacentral:rRNA from 1 species